GGCAGAGUUGAGCAGUGGCAGCUCGCGAGGCCCAUAACCUCGAGGCCGCCGGUUCGAAUCCGACCUCUGCAACCA
rnacentral:tRNA from 1 species